CCCUAAAACAUUGUACGCUCGCGACCCUGGUCUCUUUCGCUCGCAGCCUCGCGUGGCGGCGCCUCACCAUGGUGCGCUGGGUUUGCACGGACGCGGCGGACAGCGCCACCUCUUUCCAUUCGAUUGCACGGACGCGAGCGGCGCGGCGGGAUUUGGGUGUGGCGGCAAACAACUCUGAAGUUCAGCGCGGGCUAGCGAGGGGACCGAACGCCAGCGAAGCCAGCCGUCGAUCCAGCGAGCGGGGAGUAGAUCCUGCGCGAGGGGAGGCCGGGAGCAGAUCCAGCGAGCAGGAAGCCGAUCCAGCCGACGAGGGGAUCCAUCAGUCGCGGGCGAUGCGGAUGAAUCGGGGGCCUGCCGAUCCACUCGACGCGGUCGAACCGCCUGCGUGGAAAGGGGUGAGACGCGGGCGGUAAUGGCCGGCGCAUCAUCACGACUUCUGAUUUUCCAUAUUUUUACAUGGGAACAGGGGAGCUUUGGACCUUGUGUCUAGACUACAAUCUAACCAUCAAUAGCCAGCAGCUUCAUCCGCAUAACACAAAGAUGGACAUCUGACACUGCUUGUAGAUGUAGUGAAGGUACUCCUGGACCAUGAUCCAUCCCUUGGGAAAACGUUUGCCCAAUCAAAAUGUGACUCCUCUGAUUUGCGGCAAUUAGAGGCCACCUCAAGGUAGUGAACCUUCUGCUGGGUUGGUUGAACUACCAAAGGCGAACGGAACAACAAUUGCACAUACCCUUUAUUUUCCUGGUACAGGCAAUCUCCAGACAUGACAAAGCAUGUAUCUACGUCAGAAAAUUUUCUUAGCUUUUCCAGAAAUACGAUUUGGUUUAAUUAUGUAUUAGCACUACCCCAAUUUACAUUGGAUUUUUAUAUGCACACUUCUAAAAGUAAGGUUGUGUGGUCCAUUUUUGUAGGGUCAUAUUUUCUUACCAUAACUUGUCACAAUCACAGUUCUAAUGUUAUUGUUUAAUUCAACAUUUGUAUUAGCGGUUAGUUUUGCUUAUUUCGCCUCACUACAUUAAACUCCAUAGUUUGGAUUAUUUAAAUACGGAUCCUACUUAUGCAUAUAAUAUAAGUUCACAAGCUCCAAUCCAAGUUAUAUAGUCGUCGUGGUGAGAACUGAGAAUUGACAACUGUAUUCCUUGUAAUUUGGGAAAAAGGUUGUUGGUCAAUUUGCUUAAAAUUUACAAGAAUUGAGUAGCCGUUACUUGCUUGCAUAAAAUAGACAGUUUAAUUUAUGGUAUGCUUCGGUUUUUUGUCAUACAUGUUAAUUUGGUAAGAAAAAUCGUGUGUUUUUAAAUUAACUCAUUCUAGGAGCUAGCCACUGCACAUUUUCUUUGUUGAUUCUCAGUUUUGAUUUGAGCUAAGGCUCCCCAUUUCGUUCAACUAGAUCUUUUACAGACAACAGUAUAAUAGUUUUUCUCUUCCUCUACCUGCCCUAUAUAAGCAUUUUUUAUUUUGUGCUACAGAGUAAAGAUACAUUUUUAACUCUGAUUCCACUACGCACUUUGUCGUGCUUUGCAUGUCGGUAGUUUCGUUACACUAUAGUAGGAUAAUCCUUGUGUUACAAUUAUUGUACUGAUUGCAUCAUAGAUUGCCUCAUACUGCAGGGAAAACAUGAGGGGCUUUCAAACUGCAGUUCGAGAGACGAUCUGUUUGUCCUAUGGAGGUGUACUCAAUGGACUUCUGUUUUUGCUACACUAUUCUUCAAUAAAUAUUAGUUUUACCUUCUGCAUUUUCUUCCAAGCGACUUUAUUCUUUUUCUUAUAACUUUGUCCCAUCUGCUAUCCAGUUAGUGAUAUUUGGUUUGUUAAUUCUCUCUACUUAGCAGGUCAAAGUUUAGGUAAGGCCAAAGUCCAAAGUUGUUUCAUGCAACUUAGCAUUAGAAUGGGUCGGCUUUCUAGAGCAGAAAAGACACAUAGUUUUUUUUUGACGUAUUGUGCCUAUUCGGAAACAAGAAGUGUCUGCUUUGUAGUUUUUUUUCAAAAAAUAAUAUAAUUAGAAUGAAUGAAAUAUGUGAGGGUUGAGCUCUUGAGUGUUAUUGUUUUAAACAUUUGUUUGUUCUUUUUGCUGUUCUUGUGAAACAAAGUUGUCGGUGAGAAGACCAGGGUCAUGUAUGCUUCUGUAUCAAGGACUUUCCUCACAGCCAUCCCAAGUUGAGCAGUUUUACAUACAUACAAGAUACAACAUUAUCAAGAAAAACAUUCUUGUGGCAACUCAGCAAAAUUCUUACAAAUUCGCAAGUCAAUCAUGCAUGCUCAUGUAUUCUUGUGGCUUUGUUCAUAUAUAUAUCCCCAAAACAUGUUCUUAAGUUGAAUGUUUGUUCUAAAUAAGAAGCUUAGGAGAAUUCUUGUGUUACAAAUUUACAGUUUAUGGCUUUCAUGAUUUAUGCCUAACAAGUAAUAAGACUCUGUAAGUCAUGCCACCUAUUUUUUUCAUCA